rnacentral:lncRNA from 1 species
AUAGAAGAAAAAAAAUAGAAAAGAAAAUUGUUCAAUAAUAUUAAAUAUUCCUAGACAUUAACUUAGAAUAGAAGAAGAAAAACAUGAAAUUUAUGCGUAGUUAAUAAUAGAUUCUAAAGGGUGCCUGAUCGGUCUCAUUGUGUCCAUGGAAGGGUAUUGGUAAAAUACCUCUUCAUAACGCUUCUUGUUAUUUUGCAUAUUUCUACAUUUCUUUAACAGUUAGAACGUGAAAUUGGGCCCAACGACACCAACAGCUGUUUAAAAGUCUGUAAGUAGACACACAUAUACACACAUACACUCCGGGUCAGGAGAAUAGCGUCUACACAGUGAGACAUGCAUGCUUAACCAUAUAUAAGAUGAAUUAUUAUUAACUAUAAUCACUACAAUUAUGCCAUUUAAUUCAUUUAAUUAAUUAAUUCUUACUUUAUAUUUUGAUUAUAUUAUUUUUAUUCAUAUUUGAUCAUUCUCUUGAAUUCCUAUGUAUUAAAUUAGUCCCACAUAUAUAAUACACAUGCAGUAAAAAUAGUUUUAAGGGUUAGGGUAGAAAUAAUGGGGGUUACAAACAACCUGAAGUCAUACAAGUCAAAGUAAAAUUAUAACGAUUUAACAUGAAUUUCUAAUCUGAUUUUUGGGAGGGGUUCCGAAGGCACAUAGGCAGCAGCGGCAGGUUUUGGGUAGAACCAUAAUGGCAUAUUCUUAUGUUAUUCUACAUGGAGGGUGGGUCAAGAGGGAAGAGCACAUCCACCUUGCUCUUCACAGUAGGUAGUGGACCUUAAGUUCCGUCCGGGUUUGUAAUUCCGAUCCCAGUUCCCGUAAAUCUGUCUACGAUUUUGUUAGGUGACGGAGUUCGUUUUCGCAGCACACCACCCACCCCAUUUUCCCUGAGCCUAGCCGGCAAACUUUUAGUAGACAGAGAGUGCUGACGAGACGACACUUCCCGUGUCCGUUACAAUAUAAAUUGGAAAUGGGGAGUGCUAUGUCUAGUCAUCUCUUUUCCUUUAUAUCUUAGAUGUGAAAUUCCAUGCUCUUUUAGCAUCUUAAAGGGUGCUUUUGUGGAAAAUUUGGUCACAUAACUUUCAGGUAAAUAAUCCAAAGCGGCUCAUUGACCUUAACACUUAAAUAAAGGACUACCUUUGUUCCAAAUUAUGUUUUUUUAAGUUUACAUCCAUUGAUCUUGUACUCAAAUCCUAUACAUAGAUCUUCAACCUUGGUGUAUCCAAUCGCCGGUUUUAUCUCGUUAAGUGUUUCUAGGAACGCCUAUGCAUGUACAUGUUUAAUGAAGUUUUCUUUCUCCUUUUAUAUAUCAAAAAUACAAAAUGCUUACAUACCAUUAUAAAAAUGAAACUAUUCAAACUACACAAUGUUUUAUACUAAAUUAUUUAAUCAUGAGUACAUAAUCUUUUAUACUCUAUUUCGUCUUUUUCUCUAAAAUGAUAUCUAUGCUGAUUGGUUGUUGCGUUAGGUAUAUAGUUGUAAUCAUGUAAAAGCCAGAUAUGAGAAAAGGAUUUCAAAUAUUAUACUUUUUACAUAUACAUAUACGUAUG